CGUUUUAUGAUAUUAAUAUAAAAUUAAAUCUGCCCAGUGAAAUUUAAACGGCCGCAGUACUUUGACUGUGCUAAGGUAGCAUAAUAAAUUGGCUUUUAAUUGGAGUCUUGUAUAAAAGAAUUCAUGGAUAAUUUCUGUCUUUAUAUAAGUUUUUAAAAUUUACUUUUAAGGUGAAAAUACCUUUAAAUAUUUAAUAGACGAGAAGACCCUAGGAGUUAUUGUUUUUGUUGGGGCGACAUUUCUUCAUUUAACAUGAAUAAAUUAUUUUGUAGAUUUAACGAUUAUUAUAAUUUUAAUUUAACUACCCUAGGGAUAACAGCAUAAUUUAUUUUUAAGUUUAUGACCUCGAUGUUGGAUUAGGAAAGUUUAAGGUUAAUAAUUUUAAUUCUAUGUUCUGUUCGAACAAAAAUUCCU
rnacentral:rRNA from 1 species